rnacentral:rRNA from 1 species
UACGGAGGGGGCGAGCGUUAUUCGGAAUUAUUGGGCGUAAAGGGCGCGUAGGCGGCCCGGUAAGUCAAAGGUGAAAUCCCUCGGCUCAACUGAGGAACUGCCUUUGAAACUGUCGGGCUUGAGGCCGGGGGGGGGUAGCGGAAUUCCCAGUGUAGCGGUGAAAUGCGUAGAUAUUGGGAGGAACACCGGUGGCGAAGGCGGCUACCUGGACCGGUUCUGACGCUGAUGCGCGAAAGCGUGGGUAGCAAACAGG